UCAAACUUUCCUGCUCACCAACAUACCAGGUGGUUCUAGAAUCGAGAUGUUUGAUGGAUGCAUUUUGGAAAAAGUGGUCCCUGUAGCUCCCAAUGUCAAAGGAAUUGGCAUUUCAUUCGGAAUUAUCAGUUAUGAUAAUAAACUCCAAAUCGGUGUAACAGUAGACAAAGCUAUAACUACCAACCAA
rnacentral:lncRNA from 1 species